rnacentral:lncRNA from 1 species
CUUAUUCCACCGUCGAUGAUGUCUCUCUCCGCCGCUCCCCUCCGCUCCCCGCCGCUCCACUUUUUCUUCCUUCACCAACGUUGGGCAGCAAUAUUAACUCCUCCCAGCCCUUCUUAAAAAAUGGCAGCACGAACAAAAGAAAGCAACGACCCACCGUAAUUCCAGGUACAAUACACACACAGACAUGUGUGUGGGCGUGUAUAUAUAUAAUAAAUAAAUGAAUUUUGAGAAUAGUUGGAUGUAUGAAAGUGCGAGAGCUAUCUCUUGCCAUUUUUACUUUUUUAUGCGUUGUCAGGCUUCAAAACUUGGUCCACUCGUUUGAGGAGUUCGGUGACAAAGAUAAGUUUAGGAAUCCUAUUGGUUCUAAUGAUUUAUUGGCUUAUUGACUUAAUUUUUUCAUUUUUUUUGAAUCAUAAAACAUGGGCUAUCAUGCUGAG